UACGGAGGGGGCUAGCGUUGUUCGGAAUUACUGGGCGUAAAGCGCACGUAGGCGGCUUUGUAAGUUAGAGGUGAAAGCCCGAGCUCAACUUCGGAAUUGCCUUUAAGACUGCAUCGCUUGAAUCGUGGAGAGGUGAGUGGAAUUCCUGGUGUAGCGGUGAAAUGCGCAGAUAUCAGGAGGAAACACCAAUGGCGAAGGCAGCUCGCUGGGACGGUACUGACGCUGAGACGCGAAAGCGUGGGGGAGCAA
rnacentral:rRNA from 1 species